CUGAUGUCUCUGAGCUCAAAGGAGUCUAAGGCUCAGACUCUGAGAAGCCUGGUGUCCACAUUUUGGAGGGCAGUGCAACCAAGCUGGUUCUGAAGUGUUUGGGAGAACUGCCACCUGGAUUCUUCCACUGCAAUGGGAAGGAACUGCCACUGCCAGAGUGAAGAAGCGGUGUUGGGUGACACUCACAGGACUAGGACGUGGACAGGAAAGGAGGAUAAGGUGAGAUUCCUUCACAAAUGGUGGCUCCAACUGGAAUUCAUUGUCCCAAAUUCUGAGAACUCCUGAGGAAAGAUCCAAAAGUAAUAUGGCUCAAGAUUUUUGAACUGCCCAGGCCCUACUCAGGCUCUUGGACGGCUUGCCCAUCUCAAAGAAUAAUUUAAUUGAUGAAGCAGAUACAUAGAGC
rnacentral:lncRNA from 1 species